GCAUUGGUGGUUCAGUGGUAGAAGUCUCACCUUCCACAUGCAGGAGACCAGGGUUUGAUUCCCAGCCAAUGCA
rnacentral:tRNA from 1 species